UUUGUUUCAUUGAUAAUUUCAUAUAAAUUUGUUUCAUUGAUAAUUUCAUAUAAACAUAUGCAUGUGUUGACAGUAAUUACUGAAAUUUCUUGCUGUGCUGUUUGCUGAUCAUGCAAUACAAAUAGGAGUCUCCCAAAUUUAGUUUGCUACGCUGCUAGAGUACUUAAAAGCAUGAACAUGGACAGGCACCCAGAAACAUUCAGUUGUUGAACAUGAGCUGCUUAUGAUCCUAGUAAAAUGGGAAGGCGACAUCAAAGUAAAUUAGCAAACACAAACUAAAUCAAAGAGAUGUGGGUUGCACAAAUUGGAGAUAUACCGGAAGCUUUGACAAAGUAAAAAUUACUGAUAAGUUUAUGGAUUAGGCAAUUAGCUAGUAACACUUGUAAAAUUCACAUAUAUGAUUAAAAUAUUCCAGGUUUAUAUCCUUAUUUGUUGUGCUAUACUAGCUUGUUUCGAAUCAUUCUCUUCACUCCAUCCAUUUCAUUUUGGUAAAAAAUUGUAGGCUAACUGUUAUCCAUCCAAAUAAAAAUUCUCCAUUCAAAUUACUAAGUCUAGUUAAUCAAUCAUCCAAAAGCAAAUUAAUGAAGAAGUUGAAGCAAGGUGCUUAAAAGUUAAAAUGGUUUGUCCGCUAUUAUGCAGGACCUAUAUAUUGACAUUUGGCACACAAUGAUAUAUAUUAAAAAGCAAUUAAAGAGCCUCCAUAAAAUAGCUGCCAACAAUAUUAGAGCAUGCAUAUUGUUCCAAGAAAUAGAGACUAAACAAUAUUAGAGCAACCAACAAUGUCAAAUUGACAAAUAAAUAAGAAACAGAUAACUUACUGUUUUCAAGCAAUAAAACACCUUCCUUGAGCUGCUACUGCUACAAGCAAUUCCACGCACAAGCUCUAGUCUCUCCCAAAACCUAGUUGAAGAAACAUAAAUAAUCUUGCAAAAAAAAUCAAAAGCAAGAUUCUAGGUUUGGUUUUGAGCUCAAGGGAGAGAUAGACUUGACAUUCAAGACUCUAGCUUUAGGGGCAUCAAAAGCAAUCUAAUAGAAACACAAAUUUGACAUUAUAUAAAAGAAAACCUAGAACCAACAGACACAGAUUUGAAUAAGAAAUUAAGAAAACAAGUGAAAUCGAAACACAUCCCUCUCAACCCAACCAAAUGCACUUUCCCUAUGUCCCUGCCCCCAAGUUUCUUUGGUAGCCUAAAGUCUUAACAAAAUCCUAAGAGAACAAAUAAAUCAUAUUCAUACUUGUAAAUGUAAACAGACCAUGCAAAUUGAACAACUCAAUACCCAAAAACUUUAGAAAAAAUAAAAGAAAAAACAACCAAAGCAACCGAUUUCUCAAAAGCAAAAACAAGGAAAUUCAAGUGUAGAAGGCUAAUGCCAUUGAAAUGGGCAUGACCAGAUCACAAAAUGAACAUGCAAAGCGAAAGAGCCGCCAACAUGAUCAAUGUCGAGCUAGCACUAAGAAGAAUAUGCAAUUCAGAGCAAUAAAAAUUAAAAAAAAAAAAACCUAGAAAAAAGUCAAUGCUAGUAAUGUGACAGGAGGGAGCUGUGAGUGAGGUAAUAUCAGUAAUGCAACAGUAGGGAGCUCUGAGCAAGGCAGGAGUUGUGAUCAUGACAGCUGAGGAGAGUUUGAGUUGUCGCCAAUGGACUAAAGGGUGAGAGUUUGAGUUGUAACGAUGGAAUGGUGAUCAUAUGGAAUGUUUCUUGGAUGAAGAUAUGGAUAAUUUCAUCACCUAACCGACAAAGGAUAAAUUUCAAAAUGAAUUGGCCAACCCGACCCAAUCCAGUGAAUCAACCUGAAAUGUCUAUUUGGGUCGGAUCAGAUCGGUUGAUUUGAACCAAAUUUUGAACAGC
rnacentral:misc_RNA from 1 species